UUACGGCCACAUCAGAUUGAAACACCCGUUCCCGUACAAUCGCCAAAGUUCAGCAACCUCGAGCCCGGUCAGUACCUAGCUGGGUGACCGCUUUGGAAUACCACGUGCUGUAAG